AGGACGAACGCUGGCGGCGUGCUUAACACAUGCAAGUCGAGCGGUGACCCCCCUUCGGGAGGUGAUCAGCGGCGAACGGGUGAGUAACACGUGGGCAACCUGCCCCUCACACUGGGAUAACCUCGGGAAACCGGGGCUAAUACCGGAUACGACCUCGAGCGGCAUCUCUUGAGGUGGAAAGCUCCGACGGUGAGGGAUGGGCCCGCGGCCUAUCAGCUUGUUGGUGGGGUAAUGGCCUACCAAGGCGACG
rnacentral:rRNA from 1 species